UUACGAGCAUAUCACGCUGGAACACGGGUUCCCGUACGGUCACCGAAGUUAAUCCUGGUCAGUACCUUGAUAGGUGACCACCUGAGAAUUCCAGGUGCUGUAAG